UGCAAGUCGAACGAGUUCUCGUUGAUGAUCGGUGCUUGCACCGAGAUUCAACAUGGGAACGAGUGGCGGACGGGUGAGUAACACGUGGGUAACCUGCCCUUAAGUGGGGGAUAACAUUUGGAAACAGAUGCUAAUACCGCAUAGAUCCAAGAACCGCAUGGUUCUUGGCUGAAAGAUGGCGUAAGCUAUCGCUUUUGGAUGGACCCGCGGCGUAUUAGCUAGUUGGUGAGGUAACGGCUCACCAAGGCGAUGAUACGUAGCCGAACUGAGAGGUUGAUCGGCCACAUUGGGACUGAGACACGGCCCAAACUCCUACGGGAGGCAGCAGUAGGGAAUCUUCCACAAUGGACGCAAGUCUGAUGGAGCAACGCCGCGUGAGUGAAGAAGGCUUUCGGGUCGUAAAACUCUGUUGUUGGAGAAGAAUGGUCGGCAGAGUAACUGUUGUCGGCGUGACGGUAUCCAACCAGAAAGCCACGGCUAACUACGUGCCAGCAGCCGCGGUAAUACGUAGGUGGCAAGCGUUAUCCGGAUUUAUUGGGCGUAAAGCGAGCGCAGGCGGUUUUUUAAGUCUGAUGUGAAAGCCCUCGGCUUAACCGAGGAAGCGCAUCGGAAACUGGGAAACUUGAGUGCAGAAGAGGACAGUGGAACUCCAUGUGUAGCGGUGAAAUGCGUAGAUAUAUGGAAGAACACCAGUGGCGAAGGCGGCUGUCUGGUCUGUAACUGACGCUGAGGCUCGAAAGCAUGGGUAGCGAACAGGAUUAGAUACCCUGGUAGUCCAUGCCGUAAACGAUGAAUGCUAGGUGUUGGAGGGUUUCCGCCCUUCAGUGCCGCAGCUAACGCAUUAAGCAUUCCGCCUGGGGAGUACGACCGCAAGGUUGAGACUCUAGGGAAAUU
rnacentral:rRNA from 1 species